AUCUCAUUUAUUUGUGUGAAAUCAUGUAUAAAUUGUGUGCUGUUGCGUAUUGAAGCUUAUUGUAGCUAUUCAAAUUAGUUGCUCUUCGAAUCCUGGGGAAGUCAUCGAAAGGCUUAUAUUUAGAGUAAUUUUACAAUGCUUGGGGAGUCGUUUGAAAACAUUUCAUGUGUCUAUGAUUUGUGAGCCCAAUAUGAUAUAUUUAAACAAUUUAUUGUUGUUUUCCUGUACUGAGUUGCUGGUUGGAGCACUGUAAAUUUGUUCAUGAUGAUACCGUCAGUACAUUCUUUAUCGAAAAUCUUGACAAUCACAUCAUACUUUCCUUUAUAUAUAUAGGUUUAUUAUCAAAUUUGCUUCUUGCCAAUCUAUAAUGUUGAUUGAACAUUGUGUCACAUGGAGAACCAAUCUAUACCAACCGAUCCAGAUUAUGCCCAAGGUUACGAGAUCAUGUUUACAGGUUGCUUCACGCUUCUGAUAGCCUCUCAGGGAUCACUAGAUGCACUAAAUGAGAUUCUUAAAGAACCUGUACCAAUGAACUGUUUCAGACCAAAUGGAUGGAUGCCAACCAUAUUCGGAGGACCCGUGGAAAACCAUAAAGAUAAACAACCUAAUAUUUCAACGUGUGAAGCUAUGCAACCACUGCAAGGUAAGAUAUUGUUUAAUACUCUCCUAGCUUUGAAAUUGAUUAUGCAGUUUAUGUCUGGAGGGGACAUGAUAACUUUGAUGAAAAAAAAAUCAUUGGCACGACAAGCUUGGCCUUGUGGUCUUAUUGUUAAACUACUUAAUUGUACGAUAAUCUUAUACUGAUACUUUCUAUAUCUCGUGUAUGAUCUAUGAAGUAUUUUUAUCCUGCCAGUCAAUUUAUCCUAGCUCUAGGCUGUAGUAUGGUUAUAGUUGAUUUAUUUGUGGACUUCAAAUAAUAAUGAUGGUCUUCAUGUUGCAUAGAAAUUGACAAAUUGGAUACUCUGAUGGCACCUUUUAUUUCAUCAAGCCAAUAUAUACAAAAGUAUCUGUUGCUAGAGGGACGGUGGGACGGUGGCGGUACUGGAGCUGGUGCGGGUGCGGAUGGGGGUCAUGGAGAUAAAUGGGGUAGGCAAGCUUUCCCUUCAUAGGUUAGUUCUUCACAUGUCUGUACUCUGUACACACAAAUAGAAAUCAGCAAGAAUGAUUAGGUUUUAUAAAUGAUCAAAGGUGCUAGCACCGCAUCGACUCCAUAAUCCCACUCGAGAAAAGUCUGUGCAGCCUGCCUGCAGAUAUACAAUAUCUCAAAAAAUGUGCUUGGAUGUUUAGAUUUUCAGGUAGGAAACACUUCAGUCUUUAUUAAUUAUUUUCAGUAUUUAUGAUGUAAUGAAAUAUGGUUUACUGUGUUAUCAUGUGCUCUUUACAGUAAUCCAACUUCAAUGUGCUCUUUUGCGUAUCAGCAUCAGCCUUUUACCUUGUUAUAAUAAAAUGCUAUAAGCAAUCUGGCCCACUUGGUUUAUUUUUUUGAAUGUAUUUUUUCACAGAAGUGGGAUGGCAAAUGCAAAACUUGGUAGGCUGGUAGCUCAGUUGCAACCAUGCAUCAUAACGUUGGUUGAAAUCUGUAUGAGCAGCUAUUUUCAUGAAACCCAUGAUCCACACAACUUAAAAAUGCCUAUCUCUUUGGUAAUUGCUAUGAAGCUGCAUUAUUCAACAUCUAAUAGAAAAGUAUUUUGCCUUGUUCAUGCUAUUUGAGUGAUGUGUGAUAGGCUAUUAAAUUAUUGUGAUUUUCUAUUCAUGGGAUAUCUGAAUAGAACUUCAUAAAGUACAUAUGGGUAGAACUCAACCACGCCACCUGACAUGGCGAGUCCAGCAACAGAAGGACUGAGCCCCCAACAUACUCAAGAUCAUUGCAUCGAUAUGUUUUCAUUACAUAGUAGGUCCCCUGCAAUGGAUGGUCGUCACCCACUUGGAGACAUCACAAACACUUGCAACCGUUGUAAGUGACCAAAUCGUGAAGGAUCUAAUAUCCAGGAGAACAACCAUGGUGUUACCACUGUGUAUAUAUGCAAGCUUGCUAGCAGAAAAAAAAAACAGAGCCUAAUAGUAAGAGGAGGAAAGCCUGCCAUUUAAAAAAAUGCCGAGAGUGCAGUUACUAACAAUAGUAUCAAACCACCAGGUAUCUUGUCCUUCCAAUAAACUUGCAAAUAUGUCAGGAUAAGAAGCCGCUGACUCAAAUGUCUUUACUGUAGGUGUGACAUCCUUGCUGAACCAAACAAAUACAGAAAAUGACGCCAUGGGACAAUGAGAUUGUGAGCAAUGGAACACCAACGGAUGGUUUUGAUGAUAGUUGACUGCGUUGUAACAAUCCUUUUGAAAGGACACAAAUAGUAGUUUGAUGUAAUCUAAUCACUUUUAAAUAAUUUGACUUUAAAAACAUACCUAUCAUGUGCUGAUAGGGAAAGGGAGAGUCUACUCAGGGAUUCAGGGAUGGAAGGCACCGGGAAAAAAGUGAGCGAGGGUUUGUUGCUCUCUGCCAUAGUACUACGCAUAUGUUCAUAAGAGCUAUUCAUUUA